UACGUAGGUGGCAAGCGUUGUCCGGAUUUACUGGGCGUAAAGAGCGCGCAGGCGGUCGUUCAAGUCGCGUGUGAAAGCCCCCGGCUCAACUGGGGAGGGUCACGCGAUACUGAUCGACUGGAAGGCAGGAGAGGGUAGUGGAAUUCCCGGUGUAGUGGUGAAAUGCGUAGAUAUCGGGAGGAACACCAGUGGCGAAGGCGACUACCUGGCCUGUUCUUGACGCUGAGGCGCGCAAGCUAGGGGAGCAAACGGG
rnacentral:rRNA from 1 species